GAUGAACGCUGGCGGCGUGCCUAAUACAUGCAAGUCGAGCGAACGGACGAGAAGCUUGCUUCUCUGAUGUUAGCGGCGGACGGGUGAGUAACACGUGGAUAACCUACCUAUAAGACUGGGAUAACUUCGGGAAACCGGAGCUAAUACCGGAUAAUAUUUUGAACCGCACGGUUCAAAAGUGAAAGACGGUCUUGCUGUCACUUAUAGAUGGAUCCGCGCUGCAUUAGCUAGUUGGUAAGGUAACGGCUUACCAAGGCAACGAUGCAUAGCCGACCUGAGAGGGUGAUCGGCCACACUGGAACUGAGACACGGUCCAGACUACUGCGGGAGGCUGCAGUAGGGAAUCGUCCGCAAUGGGCGAAAGCCUGACGGAGCAACGCCGCGUGAGUGAUGAAGGGCCUCGGAUCGUAAAACUCUGUUAUUAGGGAAGAACAUAUGUGUAAGUAACUGUGCACAUCUUGACGGUACCUAAUCAGAAAGCCACGGCUAACUACGUG
rnacentral:rRNA from 1 species